ACAAGAUUAUAUGGGUUAAAUUGAGGAAUCUGAUAGCUCAACUUCAUAUCAAGACGACUGAGUCAAAUAACUCAUUGUUGGACUCAUCGCCUGGGUUGUUACACGAAGACGACACGAAUGUAUUGAUUGAAGUGGCUCAAGGAAUCAUUUCGAUGCUGGUCCAUUUACUCGAUUUCAGCUCUUUGUUGGAGAUUAGGAAGAAAAUUG
rnacentral:lncRNA from 1 species